rnacentral:tRNA from 1 species
GCCGGCGUGUCGAAACUGGCAAACGAGCCCGGCUCAAAACCGGGUGCCCGUAAGGGCUUGUGGGUUCGAGUCCCACCGCCGGCACCA